AUUGAAGUACAACUUGGUAAACUAAAAAACACAUCAAAUUCAGUUAUAAAAAUUUGAGUAACAAAGGUAUGCUAAUUAUUGUAUUGCCUUAAAGAGUGUCAUUGCUGUUAAAAGCAGUGAAGAAUUCAAGUACUCUGGAAGAAAAGAAAAUACGUCAAUUAUUUGGCACAAAUCGGAGUUAAAG